rnacentral:lncRNA from 1 species
UUGUGUUCAGUUCUGGAUGUUGAUACUGCAUUUGUGGAGCUGAGAAUGAGAACCAAAGAGACUAGAGGUCUCUUUGUCUCUUUGGUUCUCAGUCAUGGCUCUAAGUGCUUUACUGACUAAAGCAGUAAAGGCUCUAAGUGCUUUACUGACUAAAGCUACAUUCAUGGCCCAUAAUAUCUUUGAUUACUGAUUUUAGUGUGGAGUAAAUGAGGAACAGAACAUAAUGUGAUGUGAACAUGACCAUACUUCUUUUUGUGCCACUUUCAACACAGGGAAACAACCAACAUGGGAUGAAAAUUUGUACAACAGAAGCUCUAGUGCUUUUUGCUUCACUCAUAACAACCUGAAACCGUCACUUGCUGGUGAAAAAUAAACACCAUAUUUUAUCAGAACAUAUUAAUGGAAGAUCAAAGGAAAAUUGCAGAAUAUCAGGUGCAGCCUCUCCUGAAAAGUAUCUUACCAAGUCAUCCUGAAACGGCGUCUCUCAGAAAAAGGUCAAGGACAGAAGGAAGCAAAGUUGUCAUUUGAAGAAAAAGGAGGAGCUUCUUACUAACUAACUUUGGAAGUCAAAGAACUGCAGCUAGAAAAUGAGCAUAGACAUACUGCUCAUUUUGUCUCUCAUGAAGAGAAAUCAUCACCUCCAGGUG